rnacentral:rRNA from 1 species
GGAGGAAAAGAAACUAACAAGGAUUCCCCUAGUAACUGCGAGUGAAGCGGGAAAAGCUCAAAUUUAAAAUCUGGUGGUCUUUGGCCAUCCGAGUUGUAGUCUGGAGAAGUGCUUUCCGCGUUGGACCGUGUACAAGUCUCUUGGAACAGAGCGUCAUAGAGGGUGAGAAUCCCGUCUUUGACACGGACUACCAAUGCUUUGUGAUGCGCUCUCAAAGAGUCGAGUUGUUUGGGAAUGCAGCUCAAAAUGGGUGGUAAAUUCCAUCUAAAGCUAAAUAUUGGCGAGAGACCGAUAGCGAACAAGUACCGUGAGGGAAAGAUGAAAAGCACUUUGGAAAGAGAGUUAAACAGUACGUGAAAUUGCUGAAAGGGAAACGCUUGAAGUCAGUCGCGUUGGCCGGAACUCAGCCUUGCUUUUGCUAGGUGCACUUUCUGGUUGACGGGCCAGCAUCAAUUUUGAUUGUUGGAUAAAGGUUGGGGGAAUGUGGCACCUUCGGGUGUGUUAUAGCCCUCAGUCACAUACAACAGUUGGGAUUGAGGAUCUCAGCACGCCUUUAUGGCCGGGGUUCGCCCACGUUCGUGCUUAGGAUGCUGGCAUAAUGGCUUUAAACGACCCGUCUUGAAACACGGACCAAGGAGUCUAACAUGCCUGCGAGUGUUUGGGUGGAAAACCCGAGCGCGUAAUGAAAGUGAAAGUUGGGAUCUCUGUCAUGGAGAGCACCGACGCCCGGACCUGACCUUCUGUGACGGCUCCGCGGUAGAGCAUGUAUGUUGGGACCCGAAAGAUGGUGAACUAUGCCUGAAUAGGGUGAAGCCAGAGGAAACUCUGGUGGAGGCUCGUAGCGAUUCUGACGUGCAAAUCGAUCGUCAAAUUUGGGUAUAGGGGCGAAAGACUAAUCGAACCAUCUAGUAGCUGGUUCCUG